AGCAGCAGCCACGGGAAUACAGAGGGUGCGAGCGUUAAUCGGAUUUACUGGGCGUAAAGCGUGCGUAGGCGGCUUUUUAAGUCGGAUGUGAAAUCCCUGAGCUUAACUUAGGAAUUGCAUUCGAUACUGGGAAGCUAGAGUAUGGGAGAGGAUGGUAGAAUUCCAGGUGUAGCGGUGAAAUGCGUAGAGAUCUGGAGGAAUACCGAUGGCGAAGGCAGCCAUCUGGCCUAAUACUGACGCUGAGGUACGAAAGCAUGGGGAGCAAACAGGAUUAGAUACCCGCGUAGUCCCUGUCUCUUAUAC
rnacentral:rRNA from 1 species